rnacentral:rRNA from 1 species
AGGACGAACGCUGGCGGCGUGCUUAACACAUGCAAGUCGAGCGACGCUCUUCCUUCGGGAGGAUGACGGAGCGGCGAACGGGUGAGUAACACGUGGGCAACCUGCCCCUAGCUCUGGGAUAAGCCCGGGAAACCGGGUCUAAUACCGGAUAUGAAGUCGAAAGGCAUCUUUUGACUUGGAAAGUUUUUCGGCUAGGGAUGGGCCCGCGGCCUAUCAGCUUGUUGGUGAGGUAACGGCCCACCAAGGCGACGACGGGUA